CCAAGAAUAAAAUGAAGUUUUUGUAGGAAGCUACGACUCACUUGCGAGUGAAAAAAAUAAACUGUAUCACUUUGCUAGUUCAUGCGCUGAAUCAUAGGUGUCGCAUGACUAAUUUUAGUUUUGCCGCAAAUCGCCAAUAGAGUCGUGCAAGUCGCGUGGGUUUGGAUGCGUUAUUGUCCUAAAAGAAAACAAACUAUUUUUUUUUUUUCAAUAGUUUCGGGCCUAAAAAUUGAAAAAGGACUGAGAUAUUAAUUCACGGUACUAAUCUGCAUCAGAAUAUGCUUUAACCCGCACACACCUAAAGAUCCCUAUAGUAUACGAGCUGUCAAAACGGGUGAUUUUUUGUUUUCGCCGUCAUUUUUUGCCGCCCUAUGUGCCCUUAAAUCACCCAUGGAACGCGCCAUUUAAUCGCCCUUUAUUGCUGAUAUGAUAAUUAUAAACAAUACUUAUUUCCGGAUUCACUAUGUACAGACCACUCUAGAAAUGCACAUCAAAUUUGAAAAAAGCAUUUAAUGUCCCUUUUUACAUCAACUUUUGCACUUCCUCGCAGACAAGUUUGUUCAACUAACGCCUUGCCCCGAUCAACUUCAUUCGAUGUUUUGUUGGAGCUAGUUUCUUAAGCGGACCCUACACGAGACAAGAAUAUUGUCAACAAAAAUAUUGACAAAACUGCUUCAAUCCCGUCAAUCCCAUUUGAUUUCUACAUGAUCAAUAUUUUUAAGAUGCCCUUACACCGUCAAUAUAUUGAUCAAUAAUUGAUUUAUUUACAAUAAUUCUGCUCGUGGAGGAUCCGCUUUACAGGGCUUUGACGUCUUACACGUAUCGCAAAAUACAUUCUAAUUUCCUAUUUUGAUAGCAAGAAAAUGCAUUCAAUUUUGUUGAUUUUGAAAAAUACAUCACAAGUGAUCUGCUCCUAGACCCAAAUAAAUUUAUCAGCAUACUUGGUUAUCAUCGCGAAACUCUAGGAAGAAUCAAUAGUGAAAUUGGUAUUGCACACCAAAACUUACCAUAUUCCUGACGUUCGUUGAGACUUUAGGCCAGUGGUCUUGUUUUACUAUAUUUACACACAAUUUCCUGCAAAUAAAGUGCACUAGAUAAACCAAAUACAAGGGAGAAUAAGCGGAUUGUUUAAAAAACAAUUUUAAGCUUAAGCCAAACAUAAACCGCCAUGUUAGAAAAAGGCGGAAAAUAACCAAGUCCAUUUAAGCCGCAAGAAAAUUACUAGGGAUCUUUAAUUUGGAAAAAUUGUGUCAGUUUUUCAUAUGUACUGAUAGCGGGUGUUCUUACGAGUACACUCAUAUAAUUUUUAAACCUUAAUUAUUCUUUACUGAUUUUCAAACUAAAAAAAAAAACAAAUUAAAUUCAGCCAGCAAACUGACAGUUGUCCUCAAGGGGCGUGACACUUCCAAUGAAUUAUAAAAUAUUAUGCAAUUAUAACGUUUUUGUAUAAUUAUAGACAACAUUAUAAUUUUAUACACUUUAUAACCAUAGAAUUUUUGAACUUGUUUUCGAACAUAUUCUCAGUGUGCGGUGGAUUUAUGAGCUGUCAUUUAUUAUUGUUGACAUUGUUGAAUUGAAAUUGAUCGACAAACGAAAAUAUCAAUCCAACAAUGAAAACGGAAGCCUUUGUACUUGUGCCACAUACUAAAGCACCGAAACCGACCUGAUUACACUGCGGAAGAAUAACUACUUGUGAUGGAGUAGUAGGUAUAAGCAAUCCAACAAUGAUUCCCAUCCACGGGUGUCAUUUUGUGGUUUACGUGUUGUUUGAUUGUCCGAUAUGAGAAAUGAAAAAUCUUUAGUGAAAUAAUGCCGUAAAUAUGCUCCGCAAAAUACCGAACCGAAGACCAAUCUGUAUUGAAACAUCGACGACUACAGAACGCGCUACGAGCUGGAUGAGCAUUGGGACCUUCGGCGUAUUUUCAUGGAACUACAUCAACACUGAAUUCCGGAGGACGAACUCGUAUGUUUGCUCAGUGUUUGUGUAUGUAGAAUUGCUACACUUUCGCUACUCCCCAGAGACGAUGGAGCGUCUUAAGCAGCUGUUGGACGGGGUUGCCAAUAAGUAUCGAGCUUCCAGAAGAAAUUAACUUCAGCGAACAUUCGUUUCGGCUUCGAAUGCUGCUGCAUCCGAAGUACAACGGAAAGGACCGGAAGAUCAGGUUUCUCACAGCGGUGCUCUACUGCGAACGGAAUACUCCAGUAAGUUUAAGCAUGUGCAGCUUCACAUGUCGAGAAAUGCCGGAGGGUAAAUCUUGAGCCAAACAAAGGUGGGAACGCUUGUACUGAUUGACGCGAUAGGCGAUUCGGAUAAGCCGGUUAGAAAAAAUGUAAAGAUCUCAUUCCUGAAAAAGAUGAUUAACCAUUGCUACAAAAUUGUUCGGAAAAAGCAAUCCGUCAAUCUAGACAACGAAAGCGUCGAAUGUAAAGAAAUUGACGAAACUGUAGACCGCCGGGUCAUAUAGUUGAUGACUUUAAGGAGAAGAAAAUCGACGAAAGCAAUUUGGGAUUCAAGUAGCUUCAGAAGAUUGGUUGGAGCGGCGGUUCAUUAGGAUCUAGGAACUGUUUCUCACAGUUGAUCCCAUCAAUUGUCAAAUCAAGAUAGGACGCCGAGGUCUUGGUGGUAGAUCUGCUGAAACAAUGAAACAAAACAAGAAAACCGUCAAAAUUGAUACCCGCAACGAAUCCUACGAAAUUGAUAUCAACUUCUAUCGGUGGACUAUGCAGAAUUUUCGAGACAAUGGCAUACGAUUUAGUAUUCAGCAAUGAGUUUCCUAAGAACGCACAUUUUUUGUAUUGCAAACGUAUUUAAAAUCAAUCCAUAAAUACAUAAAUCGUGCUCUCCACAACUA